GAGUUUGAUCCGGCUCAGGAUGAACGCUGACAGAAUGCUUAACACAUGCAAGUCGACUGGAAUUCUCUUCGGAGUUAGUACGGUGGCGGACGGGUGAGUAACGCGUAAAGAAUUUGCCCUCUAGACUGGGACAACUAACCGAAAGGUUAGCUAAUACCGGAUAUUAUGAGACCUUGGCAUCAAGGACUUAUGAAAGCUAUAUGCGCUAGAGGAGAACUUUGCGUCCCAUUAGCUAGUUGGUAGGGUAAUGGCCUACCAAGGCAACGAUGGGUAGCCGGCCUGAGAGGGUGAACGGCCACAAGGGGACUGAGACACGGCCCUUACUCCUACGGGAGGCAGCAGUGGGGAAUAUUGGACAAUGGACCAAAAGUCUGGUCCAGCAAUUCUGUGUGCACGAUGAAGGUCUUCGGAUUGUAAAGUGCUUUCAGGUGGGAAGAAGAAAGUGACGGUACCACCAGAAGAAGCGACGGCUAAAUACGUGCCAGCAGCCGCGGUAAUACGUAUGUCGCAAGCGUUAUCCGGAAUUAUUGGGCGUAAAGCGAGUCUAGGCGGUUUGUUAAGUCAGAUGUGAAAAUGCGGGGCUCAACUCCGUAUGGCCUUUGAUACUGGCAAACUAGAGUACUGGAGAGGUGGGCGGAACUACAAGUGUAGAGGUGAAAUUCGUAGAUAUUUGUAGGAAUGCCGAUAGUGAAGACAGCUCACUGGACAGAUACUGACGCUAAAGCUCGAAAGCGUGGGGAGCAAACAGGAUUAGAUACCCUGGUAGUCCACGCCGUAAACGAUGUUCACUGGGUGUAGGGGGUCGAACCUCUGUGCCGAAGCUAACGCGAUAAGUGAACCGCCUGGGGAGUACGCACGCAAGUGUGAAACUCAAAGGAAUUGACGG
rnacentral:rRNA from 1 species